UGUCGACCGUGAUGGUGAUCACGGUGCCGUUGCGGUACACAAACAGGAAGCCACGCACAACAAUGGCCGUCGCGUUGACGCCCAGGGCCUUCGCGUAGGUGUUCUGGAUGUCAUCGACCAGACUGUUGAUGGCGGUCUGGUUCUUCUGCAGGUCCGCGGGGUCCUGGUCGCCGAUGGUCUGGUUCUGAUAAGUGACCACGAAGUCCUCGACCACCUUGGCAAUGCCAGGGGGCAGGGGGGGAGGGCUAGGGGGAAGGGGCGAGGGCGGGCUGGGCGAAGGGAUGGCCGUCGGCGAGGGGCUGGGCGAGGGCGACGGGGAGGCAGACGGGGAGGGAGAGGGAGAAGGAGAGGGGGAGGGAGAGGAGGAGGGGGAGGGAGAGGGGGAAGGGGAGGACGAGGGGGAAGGAGUGGGGGCGGGGGAGGGGUAGGUGCCGGCGGCGCUCUGCAGGAAGCGGCGCACCACCUCGGCAGCCUCAUCGGCCACGUCAGCGGCGGACUCCAGAACGGAGUCAACGGCCUCGGGGUGCUCGUCAGCGUUGCCCUGAGCGGGGACCACGUAGGCACCGGCGGCGAAGUCAGACACCAGCUUCUCCAGCAGCUCGCCCCAGCGGGCCUUGGCGCCCUCCUUCCAGCUGUAGCCCAGAACGACCACAGCGCCGGACACGCCAGCCUUGCCGAAUGCCUGAGGAAUGAGGGAGCGGGAGCAAAGAGAGCGAAACAUGAGCGAACGCACGACAGCAAGGAUAAAUGUUGUGGACACGCUGUGGGGUGCUGUUACGGUGUUUCAUGUGUGCGAGUCACGUUGCGUCCACCCACAAGCACGUGUUCUACACGCCAGUGCGCACCCACCUGAGCGGCGACCUUCAUCUCGUCACCAGCUGCGGUGUACAGAGGAAUGGUGAAGGCCUCAACGUCCUCGUGGCGGCACCAGGUGUUGAAGCUGAUGGUCUUGGCAUCCUCCAGCGAGGCGGGCCAGGCGUCCUGGGCCUUGGACGAGAAGAAGCUGGAAGCCUGCUCCGCCAGCAGCGGCACGCCCUGGGACGACUUGGAGUUGCAGCCGGCGUGCUUGCACACGGACCAAGCGCCUGUCAGUAACCGGUUAGAGGGCGGCACCAAAAUUCAGUCAUCAGAAUGUCACAACCAACUAACAGCAAUAUGUCAGAGCCAUUGUCCCAGGUGUAACCAAGGCUUACCCUGGUAGCCCAGCGCCUUGGCGACGAACUCGCGGUCGGCCUCCACAUUACCGCCGAGCAUCACAACCAAGCCGCCGUUCUCGACGAAGCUGGCGACCGCCGACAUGUCCUCGGCAGCGGAGUAGAAGGUGUGGCCGUUCUGGGCGGGGAUAACGUAGGCGUCCACGCCGGUUAGGCGGGGCUGGCCAUCAGCGGUGACCUUCAGGUCAAAGCCAGCCUGAACCAGCUGCUUCUGCAGGUUGCUAGGACCGUUGUUCCACUUGAGAUCGAGGACGCCGUCAGACUCGCUCAUGUAGAGGGCGACGCGCGAGGAGGCCUGGGCUCCUGCCAGUAACGCGAGCGCUAGUGCCAGGGCCAGAGGCCCGGCACACGCGCAGUUAAAGCGCAUUCUAGGCAACAACAACGGCUGUGAUGAGUACUCAAGGAGAGGCGUUGAGGUGGCUUGAGUCGCGAUGAGUUACGUGGAGGGAGGUCCCUUACGACCAGCCCAAGUGCUAUAGUUCAGCACGAGGGGGCGACUUUGAACCUGGUUAUAAAUGUAUGCAGCCUGCCGCGCGUGUGACUCUAAGCGCUUCUCGCCACCGCAAUUGCGCCCAUGCGCCCUCCGUCUGACCUGGUCUGACCGUCCGCCCGCCGCGCGGCAGGACUGUCUAUUUAUGUUGGACAAAUUGUGGCCCCAGUCACAUUGCAUGCAGAAGCGAUCAUGUAGUUCGAUUGUGAAGUAGAGAGUGAGACUAAUGUCAAAGCGCGGUUGCUAAGUAGCGCGCGAGCGAGGCGGGCGGUGUGAGAGGAGUAAUUGGCCAUUUUCAUCGCCUAUACUACAAGGCUUUUGAGCACCUCAAUAUUUACUGUGUCCUAGUCCUGCCCUGUGCUGAAGUGACAGGCUGAAGCCCUACCUCAACACGUAUCAUCCAGUUAGAGGGUAUUGUAUGUUUACAUAACACAGCUGGCUCGCAUGGAAAGGCAUUUGUGUUCCUUAUUGCAGUCGGUCAACGUGCCAGGUGACCCAGAGAAUAGUGUGAGGGCACUUGCCAGGGGUUUCCUUUCUGGAGACGUCUGCGCCAGAAUGCACUGGCUCCGACGCCCAGCAGGUUUGGGCCCGGUGGGCCGGGCAAGCCUACCGUACACCGCUGGAUAAAGGGGCACCUGCGAGGCACCUGCAUGGCGUAGCUGACUUUGGUUGGGCUCAUCGUGGGGUCGCGUGUGCCAGCUUUAGGCGUCGCGGCCGUACAGCAAGGGGUUCCCCUGCGUACAGCUGCCAACUUGAGAGAGGGGGUCAGGAAGGGGUGUCAUCACACACGUCUAUUAGCUGCCCGAGUCUCCCACCUUAAAUCUGGUGUCAUGCCUUGCCGCUGCAACCUGCUGACCGGCCAGCAGCGAAGUCCGGCAACUGAGGCAAGGAUGGAAAAGGUCGGCGGGUGGCAGUGGCACCGGUGCUGGUAGCGCCACUGCCUGUGGCUCAAUGGUGCCUCCGCUUCCAAGGCCGCCGCCGCCUCCAAUGCCUUUCGGAGCUGCAGCCGCCGUGCUGGUGGAUCCGCGGUCGGCUUCGGGGCGGCGUAGGAGGCCGACGGCCUCGCUGGGGCCCCGCCGCCAAGCGCGCGGACACCCGCGCCGUCGUGGCCGCGGGCUCCGGCCUGCGGUUUGGUUUUCUUCUGCCGCCCCCUGGGCAGCGGCCGUUGCAGUUGGCGGCUGGAGAGGUCGGCGGCGCUGCUGGGCGUACGAGCAGCUCUCUGGGUGCCGGAGGCGCGCCUAUCGGUGCUGGUGGCGGCGAGCCCAGCGGUGGCGCUUUGGCACCUGUUAUUGACGAGUGUUGCGGAACUAAUGCGUACGUAGACCAGAGCGGAAGGCGGAGUGGGCUUGCAGGCGGCACGAGAGUAGGCAGUCAGUAGCUCAGGUUGCGAAAGCACAUGUUACCUCGUAACCGACGGUAAACGGGGAUGGGUUCAGUCCAUAAAGUGGGUGGUGGCAAUCGUGCCUACGGCGGGGCCGUCCUGUCCGCAAUGGACGUCACGGCCUUGCUGGCUGCCAGCGAUGAGGCCCCCAGCCAGUCCUGCAGCAGGCACAGUGGGCUGCGAGUGAUUGGUAUGCGCGCAGUGAAUGUGCAGCCGUGGCCCGACCUGGGCGCGCUCUGAUUCUGAGUUACAUCCGCAGUGAGGUCUGCGCCUGGGGGCGGGACUGGGGGGCGGACGAUGGCCCUCUCGUGUGAUGCCCGCCGGGCCUGGUGCUGCAUGCAGCUGCUGCUAAUGGAGUUCGCGGCGCGCGCGGAGGCGGAGUUGUUUCGGGGGCUCUGUGAGCGGCCCUUCUAGUGUUCUCCUGGGUUCCAGUGCGGUAGCUGGUCCCGCUUUGUUGCUGGGUCAGUGAGCUUGGCCGCUUGGGUAGGCAGGCGUGCGGGGUGGUCAGUUAGCAGCUGGUUCUGGUGCCCCAGACUGAGUAGGACCUGAGAUCCGGUUGCCAGCGUGUGUGUGUGUGUGUGUGUGUGCGUGUGUGUGUGUGUGUGUGUGUGUGUGUGUGUGUGUGUUAAACACAAAAACAAACGGAACAAAGCCGCUGAACACGCGUGCGCAGUUACGGACCAAUACCUACGCCGGUUACCGAGCUCCGCGGUGGGCGAUGUUGCCCCAGUUGUCACCUUGAGUAUACUUACCCGCAUACGUUGCCUGGAACCCCCUACCCGGGCGUUUGGCAUUCAGCCUCGUCUCCGAGGUGCACCCGCAUGCGCUGCCAUGCUCCGCGUCGGCGACGCGCUAACAACGUUUACCGGGCACAACUCCCCCUAAGUCUCGACGACUCCACAUCCAUUCUCACCUAUAAGCGUGGGAACGGAAAGGCAUUGGGCGGCAGCAUAGAAGUGUCACGGACAUGUGAAAUGGCAGCGGCGGAAGAGGGCGGCGUGCAGCAAGCAAGCUAUCUAUGUGUGUGUGUGUGUGUGCGUGUGUGUGUGCGUGUGUGUGUGUGUGUGUGUGUGUGCGUGUGUGUGUGUGUUAUACACAAACAGAUGGAACCAAGCCGCCAAACACGCGUGCGCAGUUGCGGACAAAUACCUACGCCGGUUACCGAGCUCCGCGGUGGGCGAUGUUGCCCCAGUUGUCACCUUGAGUAUACUUACCCGCAUAUGUUGCCUGGAACCCCCUACCCGGGUGUUUGGCAUUCAGCCAUGUCUCCGAGGUGCACCCGCAUGCGCUGCCAUGCUCCGCGUCGGCGACGCGCUAACAACGUUUACCGGGCACAAAUCCCCCUGAGCCUCGUCCACUCCACACCGGUAUCCAUUCUCACCUAUAGGCGUGGAAAUGGAAAGGCAUUGGGCGGCAGCUCAGAAGUGUCACGGACAUGUGAAGUGGCAGUAGCGGAAGGGGGCGGCGUGCAGCAAGCAAGCUAUCUAAUGUCCCAACAUGCAUCCCAAAGCCCGCCCACUAACUAUGCCCGUGAAAGGGAACGAUUCCGGGGCCGCGCGGCCGCACAUACGGUAGCGCCCGGCUGCAUGGGGCGCCUGGUGGGCGGCGGUUGCAGAGACACUGGGCCCGGCUGUGUUAAAAAACGAAACGAAAGCCCGCCCAAUGACGCGACGGAGUUACUUACCGAUACCCACCAUUUUACCGAGCGUCGCGUGACUGUCGUGACCCAGGUAGUCAUACUUACCCGCGAUAAGCCUGGAACCCCACGGGCGACCAUUCGGCCUGACCCCGCGAUGCACCUGUAUGCGUCCAUGCUCCGCACCCUGGGCGCGCUAAACAACGUUUACCCAGCACGCCUAAUUCCCGGAUUCCCGCCCGCUGGUCGUAGUCGAGCUCACCUAUAGGCAAAGGUGGAAGCAUGGGCAUAGGGCGGCAGCGAGGAAGUGUCACGGGCAUGUGAAUGGCAACGGCGAUAAGAGAGGCGGCGUGCAGCAGACAAGCUAGGUAUCACGCGUCCCAAAUCCCGCCCGGCUGUGUGUGUGUGUGUGUGUGUGUGUGUGUGUGUGUGUGUGUGUGUGUGUGUGUGUGUGUGUGUGUGUGUUUGUGUGUGUGUGUGUGUGCGCGCGCGCGCCUGCGUUUGUUCGUGCACCUGCGGUGGUUCCCGUGCGUUAGCUGGUCUGCUGUAUUGCCGCUGGGUCAGUGAGCUUGGCCGCUUGGUUGGGCGUGCGUGCGUGGCAGCCGGUUCGCAGCUGUCUGUGUGCUUUCACAGGCACCAUGCAUGGCGCUGGGCGGCAGAGGUCGGCAGCCACCAGUCGGCGACCGGUACCGUAGCAGUGGCCCGAAGCAAAUGGCCUUAAGGGCUGCAGGUUCGGCCUAUGCAGGGUGCAAGGGGCAUUAUGCGGAGCGCGCGGGGGGGGGGCAUUAUGUCAUUAUGUGGGCGAAAGUGGCGCACGCAGGGGCAUUCUGUGAGAGUGGCCAAGGGUGUGGCGCCAGAUGAGCUCGGCAGCGAGCGUCAUGCAGGCAGGCCAGGGAGACUGGGGAGUGAGCAACAUCACAUCCAAUUGCCAGGUACAGCGCGCACAGCCCUUGCGUAGGACGAAGUUGCAUCAGCUGUCUGUGUGCCCCGGACUGCAUGGGGCCUGAGACCCGUGCUGCAACGUGCUGGUGCGUGUGUGCCUGCGUUUGAUCGUGCGCCUGCGGUGGCUGGUUUCAGUGGCUGGUGCGGUUUGUCUCUGGCGUUCUGCUUGCCCAUGUUGCAGGUUGCGUGCCGCCGAUGUGGUGCUGCGCCUUCCCCUGCCUUCUCUAACCACUCAACAAAGUACGGCGGGUGGCGUCGGACGCUGCUGACUGCACGACGUUGCACUCCAACUCAUAUCACCCACCCCCUAGUAGCUAUCUCUCUUUUGCUUCCGUGCGAACCGCUGCAAGCAGAGCAGUGCGCUUGCAUGGCAUGGAACCGGGAUCCUUCGCAUCCUGCCUUACAAAGUUGGCAUUGGCCGGCGCAUAAAACCAGACCUUGCAUGCCGAAUCCGAUUCAAACCGAUGAAUGGUGUGGGGUGCGUGAUCUGCACUGAUUGCACCCAUGCACUCGCCAUGCGUGCAAGGUGCAGGUCGUUUAUCAUGGAGAGUGCUUGCAGGUGGUGGAGGAGAUGCACUAAGGUCACACUGGCGCAGCUACCACCACAGGUUGAGUAGAGGUCUACUUCGCCCCUACCUGCACAGCACCAAAGCUCAAGCGUCUUUCCAUCGUUGCUACUGGCACAACAAACCAUUCAAGCAACAUUUCAUGAAUCCUUUGCAAGCGUGUGGUUGGGUUCACAAUCGCAUGUAGGCUUCCGUAACCGCCACGUUCAAAACACAUCAAAGCACCAGCCAGUCUAGAAAUGUGGUCAGCAGAUUUAUGCAUGCACGUGGUCAAAUGCUACAUUAGCUAGGACUGGCUCCCCAACCAUCUACCUAUACAAUGCGUGCGACCAUCACCGACAGUGUCACACUUGCCGUCUUGUGCUCGGCUCCUAUAUAUCCUAUGCUCCCUGAUGGGCCGUGCGUUUCCGCACAGCGCUACGGACAAAAUUACACUGCUUCGCCAGGUCCACUUCGCUGGACCGCGCCACACACUGACCUACUCUCAACAAAUGCGCCAUCUUCGGCGUAUUAAGCACACAUCCCUCGAGCUGCUACUCUACAGGUUCGUAAGCUGGGGGCUUGCGCCCACAAGCCGUGCGAGUCGGCUCCUUAGAGCUUCUUGCGGCCGAACUGGGUGUAGAUGCUGCUGUCCAGGGGGUAGACGGCGCGGCCCUGGAAACGCACGUACUCCACAAAGGGGCCGUAGUUGGGUCCGGAGCCGGCCGGGCGCUGCAUGGUGAUGACAACGCCGCCAAUGACCUUGUCCUUGAGCUUGCCCUGGAUGUUGGACUGGCUGCCGCCGGUGGGCACGGCCAUGUUGACGCCGCUCUUCUUGGGGCCGACGCGGAUGGCCAACACAGACUGGCACUUGGUGGUGUCCUUGGUCACGUUAUAGAUCACGCGGCCGAGGUCGGGGGCGUAGUUGCCGUUCGAGGGAGAGCCAGUCCACUUGAUGAACUGGACCUUGACCACGCCGGAGUUGCGGACCUGCUUGAUGAAGAUGCGGCUAAUCUGGACGGGGUCCCUGAAGAACAGGGGCACCACGGUCAUGUCAUCGCUGGCGCGCCAGGUGUAGGGGCAGCCCUCGCACUUGAGCGGGCAGCUGGGCUUGAAGGGGUUGAUCUGCGUGGAUGGCACCAAACGACAAACCAGCGAUGAGUAGGUUGGCGGUAAGGUCAUGGCACAGAAGCACACAGAGUCAUAAGACGGGUAGUCACUAUCGAGCGGGUGCAUGGAACAGCGGCUAAGGAACACAUGGACCCGAGCACAAGCUGCACUCACCAGGUUAAGGGGCGACAGGUUGGAGACCAGCGAGGAGAAGUUGGGGUCGUUGUACCAGACAACGGGCUUGUUGGGGCCAACGGUGCCGUACGCGGUCAGGUUCAGGAACUUGACAGUGGGGCCGGGCGAGGGCGGGCUGGGGGGGCGCGGGGGAGGAGGAGAUGGGGGAGGGAAGCCACGCUCGACCUGGUUGGCACCAAUGGCGUCGGCGAUGGCGUUCAGGUUGACCGGCGGCGGGCGAGGAGGGCGGGGAGGAGGCGACGGAGGGGUAGGGGGAGGAGAGGGGGGCAGCACCGUGCCAGUGGGAACCGGGGGCUGAGGAGGAGGCGACGGCGGCAGGGCCACCUCAAUGAACUGCACGAUGGACACCAGGACCUGGAUGUAGUAGUCAUCCUGCUGCAGGUCGCGACGGCUCAUCUCGUUCAGCUUGCGGUACAGCAGCGCGGGCAGAGCAGCCUCGGCGUCCAGCAUCUCCAUGAUCUCGUCCUCGUUGGCGGCAUAGCUGCCCUCGUGGAUCAGGCCGGUCACACCGCUGCCAGAGCCGAACAUGUCAGCCACCUCGGAGCGAUCGUACACCUUGGCAACGUUCUCCAGAGCCAUGCGGCGCCUCUUGGCGGGGGUGGUGUCGACCAUGAUGGUGAUCACGGUGCCGUUGCGGUACACAAACAGGAAGCCACGCACAACAAUGGCCGUCGCGUUGACGCCCAGGGCCUUCGCGUAGGUGUUCUGGAUGUCAUCGACCAGACUGUUGAUGGCGGUCUGGUUCUUCUGCAGGUCCGCGGGGUCCUGGUCGCCGAUGGUCUGGUUCUGAUAAGUGACCACGAAGUCCUCGACCACCUUGGCAAUGCCAGGGGGCAGGGGGGGAGGGCUAGGGGGAAGGGGCGAGGGCGGGCUGGGCGAAGGGAUGACCGUCGGCGAGGGGCUGGGCGAGGGAGAAGGAGCGGGGGAAGAGGAAGGGGAAGGGGAGGACGAGGGGGAAGGAGUGGGGGCGGGGGAGGGGUAGGUGCCGGCGGCGCUCUGCAGGAAGCGGCGCACCACCUCGGCAGCCUCAUCGGCCACGUCAGCGGCGGACUCCAGAACGGAGUCAACGGCCUCGGGGUGCUCGUCAGCGUUGCCCUGAGCGGGGACCACGUAGGCACCGGCGGCGAAGUCAGACACCAG
rnacentral:lncRNA from 1 species